GAAUUCAUAUACUCCAGCGUUUGUUGUUAAGUGCCAAUUUCAGUUAUAUAGUUUACGUGGAGUGAACGAACUAGUCUGUUGGGUUGGUGUUGCUUUCGUCGUUUCUGAGCUCUUUUGCGUGCGAACAAGGCGCGUGGUUGACGGACAGUCUUGAGCUUCACCUUUUUACUGAUCCUGUAGAGAUGGCCGCGACUCAGGUGGUGAUGGCGGAGCAGGGCAUGGGACACCCCGCGGUGCCCUGGGAUGGUGCUCCUCCGAAGCGCAAGUGGAGGAGCAAGAGCACACAACCAAAAUACCAAAUGUAUUCGGCGAUUUUCCAGAAGGGCGUGAAGGAGCCGGGAUUGGGUCCUUCGCGAUUUAAAGGUUCACAGAAGAAGAAGGGUUUGAAGGCUAGAAAGUUUCAUGAUCACAGAGGAUCAGUCCCUUGGACGGUACCUAGAACCCCUUUUAACGACAGCUCAUUCCUUAUGCAAGUGCGAAAGUGUGGAGGAUUAGCACCCGUUUUCCCGUCCCCUACCAUUUCCAGUUACGAUUUCGGUUCUUAUCAGGAUCUCUUGGAUCUCGAGGAUUACGGUUAUGGCUCCAUGACAGGCCUCAUACGUCUUCGACGUGUCGAAAACGAUGGUGAUGAGUGGGGUGGUGCCAGCACUGUCGUAAAUGACCCCGAUGUGAUUAACAUGUGUGAAGUGGAGCAGCGCCUGCCAUCCUCUCCUGCAGACUCUUUGGAACGAUUGGAGCAGCGAAUUGAUCGAGGCGUGAGCAGGUUUGAGAUUAGGGGAGCGGCAAAGCAAGACAGGCGCAUACAAGAUCUUCAGGAUGAGAACCUUCUUUUGAAACACCGUCUCCUCUUGGUACAGCAAGAAGUUAACGAGCUUAGGCAAAGAUUGCAAGCAGAUCAAAGUUGUAACCCUAAUGACAGCAGUGAAACACACUCCUGCUUUGGCGGUUAAGCAGAACUAAAUUGUGUUGCCAACCUUUCUUUGGUGUGCAUUGUUGUGUUCACUUAAUCUGUUUCCUUUUGUGAAACUGCAUUUCGAAAGCUACUGACGCUGCCGAGCUCUCUGGAGUUGACAAGAAAGAUCUGCCUUGUUAUGGACCAGCAUGUUGUCCACUGAUGUUCUAACGUCUCGUAGAUGUUCUUCACGAUCUCUACCAAGGAUCAGCUGUCGUUGAGAUCGUCACCUUCACAUGUUCUAUGGAAAGCUGCAAAUGCACAAGAUUUGCAGCAUGAAGAGAGAGACUUCGAAAGCCUGUGUGGGCAUUGUGCAAAGCCUGUGAAAGUGCUUCUACUAGGCAAGUGCAGUGCUCUUCCAGUCUUAAGCGAUCUUUGCAAUAAACUGUCAUUGGAGGGAGAAGGAGAGACACAAAGGAUUUUUAAAUACGUACUUUUAUAUUGUAUAUUUCUAGUUGUGUAAAUAGUAUGGAAGUUUUAAUACCUGUAAUAUUUCUAGCAACUUGAAUAGGGGUUAACAACAGGCGUUGUCAAAGUUCGAAUUCAUAGUUUAGUUUGAAUUUACAGAGUAGAGCUUUUGUCUUGCAGUUAGUUAUCAUGGUUCGAUUUAUCUAACCUGAAAUUCGAACUUGUGAUUAGCAAUGCCAUUAAGUUGAUUGCUCAUGUUAAAAAAAAUUAAUUCUGUUAGGGCCUACAUCUGUGUUUAAGCACCCAUAAUUUUUAAUUUUGAUAAAAUGGAAAUACUUCAUCUUAAA